rnacentral:rRNA from 1 species
UGGUGGGGUGACCCGUCUGGUUAAUUUCGAUAACGAACGAGAUCCGAGUUAUUUAGUUGGCCAACGCUGUCAUUUCACAGAAUUGCGUCUCCUAUAUAGACUGUCAGUUGUAGGCUGAAGGAAGUUUCGGGCUAAAUCA